UUUCCUUUAUCAGAAUAUUUUGGUUCUAAAAAUAAAAUAAAACAAAAUGAAAUGAGAAAGUUAUUCCUUUUCACCUCCUUUUGUUUUCGAAUAACACCUGCCAUAUUUAGUACUAUACAGUUUCGUUCUGGAAAUCGGUGUACCAGUCAUCAACACGAUUUAUCUAAAAUUUCCAUGAUUCAACAGUGAGUGGAAAAGUGUCAAUAAUCAUCUCCAUUUCAACACAGGCAAUCUUAUUUUUUAAAUAAAAGCUGGUGUGAUUCCUUAGAGGGCACAUGGUAGUUGUCAUCUAAGUAACGCUGGGGUUAGAAAUGAGAUCAUGAAAAGAAUAGGAAAAGUGACUGAGGGCUGGGUGUUCAUGGCGGACAUAUUUGUUUGAAUUCCGGAUCUGUGAUUGGUCAGAGCAAACUCCAUCAAGCGAGCAAGAUGGGCAAAUGUUAUUUGAGGAAAGGUGACAUUUCAGCACGAGACAAAAGUUCGAUUGUAAACCUUUAUAAAACAAAAAUGGAGAAAAGUUCCCCAAAGUAAGCUCAGGGGUCGUCAAACCGUUGACGAUAUUUUACGAUGUUAAUUCUCCCACCCGAAUUGUGUCCAGUAUUUAAACUACAAAUUGUGAGAGAUGUUUUAGAAGACAAACCAAGAAAGGUGAUGUCUGCAAACUGAAUAUUUCAAAUCAGCAAUUACAAAUUGGCCUCUGUUGUUUAUCUUUUGCUUUUAAAAAUUGAAGAGACUAUAAAAAUGCCGGAAACAACGGAUGCUACUCGACUUUCUCAGUGUCUUACAAUAUGCAAGUUUUGCCCUACUUGUUGCAUAACCAGGAUAUGCAUUUGUGGCCGAUGUACAACUUUUUUUUUGUAAAUUUAGGUAAUCCAAAUCUUUAUACGUGGAAAAGUAUGUUUUAUUCUCCCGAUUCACUCGAAUGACAAACGUGUUUUUAUGUUUCUAAUGGCAAAUAUUCAUACAGAUUCUCUGUUGAGUCAA
rnacentral:lncRNA from 1 species